UGGCUCAGAGUGAACGCUGGCGGCAGGCCUAAUACAUGCAAGCCGAACGGCAGCACAGCAGAGCUUGCUCUGUGGGUGGCGAGUGGCGGACGGGUGAGGAAUACGUGGGAAUCUGCCCAGUCGUGGGGGAUAACGUAGGGAAACUUACGCUAAUACCGCAUGCGCCCUUCGGGGGAAAGCCGGGGACCUUCGGGCCUGGCGCGAUUGGAUGAGCCCACGUCGGAUUAGCUAGUUGGCGGGGUAAAGGCCCACCAAGGCGACGAUCCGUAGCUGGUCUGAGAGGAUGAUCAGCCACACUGGAACUGAGACACGGUCCAGACUCCUACGGGAGGCAGCAGUAGGGAAUAUUGGACAAUGGGCGCAAGCCUGAUCCAGCCAUGCCGCGUGAGUGAAGAAGGCCCUCGGGUUGUAAAGCUCUUUUGUCCGGAAAGAAAAGCGCCGGGUUAAUACCCUGGUGUCCUGACGGUACCGGAAGAAUAAGCACCGGCUAACUUCGUG
rnacentral:rRNA from 1 species